AUACGUAGGGUGCAAGCGUUAUCCGGAAUUAUUGGGCGUAAAGGGCUCGUAGGCGGUUCGUCGCGUCCGGUGUGAAAGUCCAUCGCUUAACGGUGGAUCCGCGCCGGGUACGGGCGGGCUUGAGUGCGGUAGGGGAGACAGGAAUUCCCGGUGUAACGGUGGAAUGUGUAGAUAUCGGGAAGAACACCAACGGCGAAGGCAGGUCUCUGGGCCGUUACUGACGCUGAGGAGCGAAAGCGUGGGGAGCGAACAGGAUUAGAUACCCUGGUAGUCCACGCCGUAAACGGUGGAUGCUGGAUGUGGGGCCCGUUCCACGGGUUCCGUGUCGGAGCUAACGCGUUAAGCAUCCCGCCUGGGGAGUACGGCCGCAAGGCUAAAACUCAAAGAAAUUGACGGGGGCCCGCACAAGCGGCGGAGCAUGCGGAUUAAUUCGAUGCAACGCGAAGAACCUUACCUGGGCUUGACAUGUUCCCGACGGUCGUAGAGAUACGGCUUCCCUUCGGGGCGGGUUCACAGGUGGUGCAUGGUCGUCGUCAGCUCGUGUCGUGAGAUGUUGGGUUAAGUCCCGCAACGAGCGCAACCCUCGCCCCGUGUUGCCAGCGGAUUAUGCCGGGAACUCACGGGGGACCGCCGGGGUUAACUCGGAGGAAGGUGGGGAUGACGUCAGAUCAUCAUGCCCCUUACGUCCAGGGCUUCACGCAUGCUACAAUGGCCGGUACAACGGGAUGCGACGCGGCGACGCGGAGCGGAUCCCUGAAAACCGGUCUCAGUUCGGAUCGCAGUCUGCAACUCGACUGCGUGAAGGCGGAGUCGCUAGUAAUCGCGAAUCAGCAACGUCGCGGUGAAUGCGUUCCCGGGCCUUGUACACACCGCCCGUCAAGUCAUGAAAGUGGGCAGCACCCGAAGCCGGUGGCCUAACCCCUUGUGGGAUGGAGCCGUCUAAGGUGAGGCUCGUGAUUGGGACU
rnacentral:rRNA from 1 species